rnacentral:rRNA from 1 species
AACGAACGCUGGCGGCAGGCCUAACACAUGCAAGUCGAGCGAAGCCUUCGGGCUUAGCGGCGGACGGGUGAGUAACGCGUGGGAACGUGCCCUUUGGUACGGAAUAGCCCCGGGAAACUGGGAGUAAUACCGUAUGUGGUCGAGAGACGAAAGAUUUAUCGCCAAAGGAUCGGCCCGCGUUGGAUUAGGUAGGUGGUGGGGCAAUGGCCUACCAAGCCGACGAUCCAUAGCUGGUUUGAGAGGAUGAUCAGCCACACUGGGACUGAGACACGGCCCAGACUCCUACGGGAGGCAGCAGUGGGGAAUCUUAGACAAUGGGGGAAACCCUGAUCUAGCCAUGCCGCGUGAUCGAUGAAGGCCUUAGGGUUGUAAAGAUCUUUCAGUGGGGAAGAUAAUGACUGUACCCACAGAAGAAGCCCCGGCUAACUCCGUGCCAGCCGCCGCCGUAAGAC